rfam:Arabis alpina cultivar Pajares Aa.chr3_contig_964, whole genome shotgun sequence.
GUUGAUAUGGCCGAGUUGGUCUAAAGCGCUGGAUUAAGGUUCCAGUCCGUAAGGGCGUGGGUUCAAAGCCCACUGUCAACA